UAAGGAAUAUUGGUCAAUGGAGGCAACUCUGAACCAGCCAUGCCGCGUGCAGGAAGACAGCCCUAUGGGUCGUAAACUGCUUUUAUACGGGAAUAAACCUCAUUACGAGUAAUGAGUUGAAUGUACUGUAAGAAUAAGGAUCGGCUAACUCCGUGCCAGCAGCCGCGGUAAUACGGAGGAUCCAAGCGUUAUCCGGAUUUAUUGGGUUUAAAGGGAGCGUAGGCGGCCUGUUAAGUCAGGGGUGAAAACUUGCAGCUCAACUGUAAGCGUGCCUUUGAUACUGAUGGGCUUGAAUAUACUAGAGGUAGGCGGAAUGUGACAAGUAGCGGUGAAAUGCAUAGAUAUGUCACAGAACACCAAUUGCGAAGGCAGCUUACUAUGGUAUGAUUGACGCUGAGGCUCGAAAGCGUGGGGAUCAAACA
rnacentral:rRNA from 1 species